CUCCACGUUCCGGUCGGAUGUCGGCCUUGAGUGAUGAAGCCAACCGUCACACUCCAGCCCAUCGCGAUCAGUAAAUUUCACCGCCUCUGGUGUACUCAGCCUGUCUGAUCCUGCCGCCAGGAGCCUGUAGGCUGCAUUCCUUGACACUCUUAAUCCAAAGAGUUGAAGCAGCGUGCAACUCGUAUUACCCUUAACUUAUGGGAAGCGCAGAGAACGGUUUGAAGUUGGCUGUUUUCUUUGCUCGGUCCCGUUACUUUGUCUGGCCUGUGCAAAUGAAGGGAUGAUACCGACGCCUAGCGGUGGCAUUAUCCGAUAAUAUCAGUGACUCAACUAAAAACGUUCUUGUCAUAAAUCUUUUGUUCGGUUUGUAUCCAAAUUACGAUGGCGAAAAAUUUCAUUAUUUAUUGAUUGAUCGUUAUUCAUUCGAUUGAAAUUACAUUGCAGAUACAGAGAUUAACAACUUUUUAGCAACAAUAAUGACAAUAUUUAUUAUAUAACAUCUCGUCAAUUGCAAAUACAAUACAAUAUUCUAAAACACCCAAUAUUCAUCAGUUCAAAAGCCUCAAGUUAAUGCUGAUCUCCGAUUCCGAUAUACGGUUACGGCAUGAGAUAGUAUCAGGGGAUAGGAUCGGUGCAGAUAGGAAUAGACGUCACCUGUCGGCAGCUGGGCACCGAAUUCGGGACGUGCUUACAGUUUACAAUAAAGCGCAAUACAUUAUACAAUAGCUAUACAAUCUGAAUACGUAUACAAUAUAAAUACAAAACAUACGAGUAGAUGAGCUUUCUUUUCCUUUCCAAUAAUAGAUUCGUAUCAAAGAAAUUGCACACAUUUGAUUUUGCCAAUAUUUUAGUUGUGUUGUUUUAGUUCUCUAGGUACAUACGUUUAAGCGUUUUCAUAUAUCAAAUACACACGAGUAUGUAUGUAUAAUUUGUAAUUAUUGGUUACCCACAUACGAUACCUCGUCGUAGGUGUAUUAGUAUGCGGUAAAUAUGCAUAUUAAUCAGUAUACAGCUUAGGGGCAACAUAACAAUUGCAGUAAUGAUUGAUUUUAGUUUUUUGUGGUUGGGUUUCAUUGGUCGUUAAGGGUUAACAUCGACGACGCCCAC